AUUGAACGCUGGCGGCAGGCCUAACACAUGCAAGUCGAACGCGUGGCGGACGGGUGAGUAAUGUCUGUGAAACUGCCUGAUGGCGGGGGAUAACUACUGGAACCGGUAGCUAAUACCGCAUACCUGUAGAUUUGCCUUGAUGGGAUUCGCUUGUUGGUGGGGUAACGGCUCACCAAGGCCACGAUCCCUAGCGGGUCUGAGAGGAUGACCAGCCACACUGGAACUGAGCCACGGUCCAGACUCCUACGGGAGGCAGCAGUGGGGAAUAUUGCACAAUGGGCGCAAGCCUGAUGCAGCAAUGCCGCGUGUAUGAAGAAGGCCUUCGGGUUGCAAAGUACUUUCAGCGGGGAGGCGUUACCCGAAGAGGAAGCACCGGCUAACUCCGUGCCAGCAGCCGCGGUAAUAC
rnacentral:rRNA from 1 species